GACGAACGCUGGCGGCGUGCUUAACACAUGCAAGUCGAGCGGUAAGGCCCUUUCGGGGGUACGACGAGCGGCGAACGGGUGAGUAACACGUGGGUGACCUGCCCUCAGCUCUGGGAUAAGCCUGGGAAACCGGGUCUAAUACCGGAUAUGACUCCAUGACGCAUGUUGUGGGGUGGAAAGCCUUGUGCGGCUGAGGAUGGGCCCGCGGCCUAUCAGCUUGUUGGUGGGGUGAGGCCUACCAAGGCGACGACGGGUAGCCGGCCUGAGAGGGCGACCGGCCACACUGGGACUGAGACACGGCCCAGACUCCUACGGGAGGCAGCAGUGGGGAAUCUUGCGCAAUGGGCGAAAGCCUGACGCAGCGACGCCGCGUGGAGGGAUGA
rnacentral:rRNA from 1 species